rnacentral:rRNA from 1 species
GAUGAACGCUGGCGGCGUGCCUAAUACAUGCAAGUCGAGCGAACGGACGAGAAGCUUGCUUCUCUGAUGUUAGCGGCGGACGGGUGAGUAACACGUGGAUAACCUACCUAUAAGACUGGGAUAACUUCGGGAAACCGGAGCUAAUACCGGAUGAUAUUUUGAACCGCAUGGUUCAAAAGUGAAAGACGGUCUUGCUGUCACUUAUAGAUGGAUCCGUGCUGCAUUAGCUAGUUGGUAAGGUAACGGCUUACCAAGGCAACGAUGCAUAGCCGACCUGAGAGGAUGAUCGGCCACACUGGAACGGAGACACGGUGCAGACUCCUACGGGAGGCAGCAGUAGGGAAUCUUCCGCAAUGGGCGGAAGCCUGACGGAGCAACGCCGCGUGAGUGAUGAAGGUCUUCGGAUCGUAAAACUCUGUUAUUAGGGAAGAACAUAUGUGUAAGUAACUGUGCACAUCUUGACGGUACCUAAUCAGAAAGCCACGGCUAACUACGUG